ACUCCUGCGGGAGGCAGCAGUGGGGAAUUUUGGACAAUGGGCGAAAGCCUGAUCCAGCAAUGCCGCGUGAGUGAAGAAGGCCUUCGGGUUGUAAAGCUCUUUUGUCAGGGAAGAAACGGUGAAAGCUAAUAUCUUUUGCUAAUGACGGUACCUGAAGAAUAAGCACCGGCUAACUACGUGCCAGCAGCCGCGGUAAUACGUAGGGUGCAAGCGUUAAUCGGAAUUACUGGGCGUAAAGCGUGCGCAGGCGGUUUUGUAAGUCUGAUGUGAAAUCCCCGGGCUCAACCUGGGAAUUGCAUUGGAGACUGCAAGGCUAGAAUCUGGCAGAGGGGGGUAGAAUUCCACGUGUAGCAGUGAAAUGCGUAGAUAUGUGGAGGAACACCGAUGGCGAAGGCAGCCCCCUGGGUCAAGAUUGACGCUCAUGCACGAAAGCGUGGGGAGCAAACAGGAUUAGAAACCCGAGUAGUCCCAU
rnacentral:rRNA from 1 species